CAACAGAGACACCAACAACACCAACUACAGAGACACCAACAACACCAACUACAGAGACACCAACAACACCAACAACCGAAGAGGUCACAACUCCAGAAACUACAAUAGAUAAUAAUUCUCUUCAAAUAAUCAUUAAUGGCUCUUUGAUCUCAAUUUUUGAUUUUACGAGCUGUGAGACACCCAAUAUCAUUGUAUCUUUGACAAUUGCUGGCGUCUUAACCGAAGUUCAAGGCUGUCUUUAAAACUGGAACACUUAAAGGGAUCAGAAGUAUCAAAUUAUUUAAAACUGCAAUAAUAGCGACAUUUUAUAUCAAACUAUUUAAAUAUUCUAGUAUCAACAAAAUAAAAGUGUAUUAAUAAAUAUAUUUUUAUAAGUUAUCAACAAGUUCAGCUCUGCACUAUAACAAAAAUUUUGUAUAAUGUAAUUUCAAUAAAGUUGUGUUGUGAUUGAUUGAUCAUAAUAAUCAAUUAUUUGGCUUAUCAUUUUUGAAAACCCAUAA